GAAUUGCUGUCUUCUGGUGAAAAUAAAUACAGAAAUCCUGAAGCACGACUCCAAAGAGAGAUGAGCCUGCAAAACAGCACCACGCUGGAAAGGGAGUAUGUUUGGUUUGUCUUAUUUUUCUUUUGCUUUCUGGGAUUUUAGGAUUCCUGUUGUAGGGAUUGCACCAAGAUGACAAACUAGAGAGGUUUGAAAAAUGGAAACACAAUCCCUUGACUCCAGGAGCUCAGACUUAAAUAUCAACAAAUACCUCAGGAUGCAGUGUGAGUGCUGAUGGAGCAGCUGACUCGGCGAGCGUGGAGGUGAACUACCAAGGGCUGUGUGGCUGAACCACUGCCGGUGGUGACAUCCCAGACUGGAAGUUAUGCUGGAAGGCAUUCAGCUAUUGAGUGAUUUGCUUCACCAUCCCUCACUGUGGUGUUGGACUGCCUUGCCACGGUUCCACAUGGUUUUCCUUUGGCUUGCAAGACUCCAGGAUGAAGGCCUGGGUUUCUCCCACGAGGCUGAGAGGGUGAGGAAGCCAACAGAUGGCACUGUGCUGUUUCUGGAGGAGCCCAGCCUUGCUGGAGGCCAGAGACGGGAUGCCUGAAUGCUGGGGAAAGCCUUGCACUUCAGGGAAGUUUCUCCUCAUGCAGAGGCACAAGCAAAGUCUCACCAUGGGGAAGGAUCCUUGGCACUUCGUCCACCCUUGGCCCAAAGCACCGUGCAAAGCAGGUCUGUGCCUGCUGCUCCAGGAGCAGAGACACGUUCCUGGCUCCAGCCAUCGGUUUGUGCCUCGUAGCAGCACUGUGAUUUAGGGUCCAAUCCAGCAGAGGUUUGCAGCGUUUGCCGCCAGGAUCCUGAGCAUCCCUGCGGAGCCACUGCACACCCUCCCAGGACGUGCUCGGCAUCGCCGCUGCCCCCACCCACCCCCCGCAUGCUUGACCCCACUGCCAUCCAGUGCCACCUUUCAAAUCACUGAAGCCAAAUUAGGGUAUGGAGAUCCAGUCUUCCAGUGGAAAAGAUGGACCGGUCCCUCACGACAAGAUGCAAACCCACAACACGGAUUCAGCGUUGACAGGGGUUGUUCUGAAUGUAACAGGAUCCCAUGGCAGAUGUAAACCAGACUCCAGG